rnacentral:rRNA from 1 species
GACGAACGCUGGCGGCGUGCCUAACACAUGCAAGUCGAGCGGGGUUUAUUGGAUUAGCUUGCUAAACUGAUAGACCUAGCGGCGGACGGGUGAGUAACGCGUGAGCAACCUGCCUUGCACAGGGGGAUAACAACCGGAAACGGUUGCUAACACCGCAUGAGACCCCACUAUCGCAUGAUAGAGAGGUUAAAGGGCUUACCGGUGCAAGAUGGGCUCGCGUCCCAUUAGCUAGUUGGUAGGGUAACGGCCUACCAAGGCGACGAUGGGUAGCCGACCUGAGAGGGUGAUCGGCCACACUGGGACUGAGACACGGCCCAGACUCCUACGGGAGGCAGCAGUGGGGAAUAUUGCGCAAUGGGGGGAACCCUGACGCAGCAACGCCGCGUGAGUGAAGAAGGUUUUCGGAUCGUAAAGCUCUGUCAUUGGGGACGAAGGAGUGACGGUACCCAAGGAGGAAGCCCCGGCUAACUACGUG